GAUUCUAAACACAUGUCACGUUGGAGACAUAUACCAAAGAUGGGACUAGAAGAAGAAGAAGAAGAAGAAGGCUUGGGAGGUUUUACUUCUUCUUCUUUUUUAAUUUUUACUUUUUCUUUUUUUUGAUCUUUCUUUGAUUUUUCUUUUUUUGAAGAAUUAGAAGAUGAUGAUGACGAUGAGGAAGAU
rnacentral:ribozyme from 1 species